rnacentral:rRNA from 1 species
UACGUAGGGUGCAAGCGUUGUCCGGAAUUAUUGGGCGUAAAGAGCUUGUAGGCGGUUUGUCGCGUCUGCUGUGAAAUUUCGGGGCUCAACCCCGAACUUGCAGUGGGUACGGGCAGACUAGAGUGUGGUAGGGGAGACUGGAACUCCUGGUGUAGCGGUGGAAUGCGCAGAUAUCAGGAAGAACACCAACGGCGAAGGCAGCUCGCUGGGACGGUACUGACGCUGAGACGCGAAAGCGUGGGGAGCGAACAGG